UACAGAGGGUGCGAGCGUUGUUCGGAAUUAUUGGGCGUAAAGGGCGCGUAGGCGGUGCGGUAAGUCACCUGUGAAAUCUCUUGGCUCAACUGGGAGCUUGCAGGCGAAACUGCCGUGCUGGAGUGUGGGAGAGGUGCGUGGAAUUCCUGGUGUAGCGGUGAAAUGCGUAGAUAUCAGGAGGAACACCUGUGGCGAAAGCGGCGCACUGGACCACAACUGACGCUGAGGCGCGAAAGCUAGGGGAGCAAACAGG
rnacentral:rRNA from 1 species